rnacentral:rRNA from 1 species
AUUGAACGCUGGCGGCAUGCUUUACACAUGCAAGUCGAACGGUAACAGGCCGCAAGGUGCUGACGAGUGGCGAACGGGUGAGUAAUGCAUCGGAACGUGCCCAGUCGUGGGGGAUAACGCAGCGAAAGCUGCGCUAAUACCGCAUACGAUCUAUGGAUGAAAGCGGGGGACCGUAAGGCCUCGCGCGAUUGGAGCGGCCGAUGUCAGAUUAGGUAGUUGGUGGGGUAAAGGCUCACCAAGCCGACGAUCUGUAGCUGGUCUGAGAGGACGACCAGCCACACUGGGACUGAGACACGGCCCAGACUCCUACGGGAGGCAGCAGUGAGGAAUUUUGGACAAUGGGCGCAAGCCUGAUCCAGCAAUGCCGCGUGCAGGAAGAAGGCCUUCGGGUUGUAAACUGCUUUUGUACGGAACGAAACGGCUCUGGUUAAUACCCGGGGCUAAUGACGGUACCGUAAGAAUAAGCACCGGCUAACUACGUGCCAGCAGCCGCGGUAAAAC